rnacentral:rRNA from 1 species
ACGCACGCUGGCGGCGUGCUUAACACAUGCAAGUCGAACGGUGAAGCUCCAGCUUGCUGGAGUGGAUCAGUGGCGAACGGGUGAGUAACACGUGAGCAACCUGCCCCUGACUCUGGAAUAAGCGCUGGAAACGGCGUCUAAUACUGGAUACGAGAAGGGUCCGCAUGGGCACUUUCUGGAAAGUUUUUCGGUUGGGGAUGGGCUCGCGGCCUAUCAGCUUGUUGGUGAGGCAAUGGCUCACCAAGGCGACGACGGGUAGCCGGCCUGAGAGGGCGACCGGCCACACUGGGACUGAGACACGGCCCAGACUCCUACGGGAGGCAGCAGUGGGGAAUAUUGCACAAUGGGCGAAAGCCUGAUGCAGCGACGCCGCGUGAGGGAUGACGGCCUUCGGGUUGUAAACCUCUUUCAGCAGGGAAGAAGCGAAAGUGACGGUACCUGCAGAAGAAGCACCGGCUAACUACGUG